GAUGAAGAACGUAGCGAAAUGCGAUAAGUAAUGUGAAUUGCAGAAUUCAGUGAAUCAUCGAAUCUUUGAACGCACAUUGCGCCCCCUGGUAUUCCGGGGGCAUGCCUGUUCGAGCGUCAUUUCACCACUCAAGCCUCGCUUGGUAUUGGGCAACGCGGUCCGCCGCGUGCCUCAAAUCGACCGGCUGGGUCUUCUGUCCCCUAAGCGUUGUGGAAACUAUUCGCUAAAGGGUGCUCGGGAGGCUACGCCGUAAAACAAACCCAUUUCUAAGGUUGACCUCGGAUCAGGUAGGGAUACCCGCUGAACUUAAGCAUAUCAAUAAGCGGAGGA
rnacentral:misc_RNA from 1 species